AUUGAACGCUGGCGGCAUGCUUUACACAUGCAAGUCGAACGGCAGCGCGGGGCAACCUGGCGGCGAGUGGCGAACGGGUGAGUAAUACAUCGGAACGUACCCAGAAGUGGGGGAUAACGUAGCGAAAGUUACGCUAAUACCGCAUACGAUCUACGGAUGAAAGUGGGGGACCUUCGGGCCUCAUGCUUUUGGAGCGGCCGAUGUCUGAUUAGCUAGUUGGUAGGGUAAAGGCCUACCAAGGCGACGAUCAGUAGCUGGUCUGAGAGGACGACCAGCCACACUGGGACUGAGACACGGCCCAGACUCCUACGGGAGGCAGCAGUGGGGAAUUUUGGACAAUGGGCGCAAGCCUGAUCCAGCAAUGCCGCGUGAGUGAAGAAGGCCUUCGGGUUGUAAAGCUCUUUUGUCAGGGAAGAAACGGCUGAGGAUAAUACCUUCGGCUAAUGACGGUACCUGAAGAAUAAGCACCGGCUAACUACGUGCCAGCAGCCGCGGUAAUACGUAGGGUGCAAGCGUUAGUCGGAAUUACUGGGCGUAAAGCGUGCGCAGGCGGUUUUGUAAGUCUGUCGUGAAAGCCCCGGGCUCAACCUGGGAAUUGCGAUGGAGACUGCAAGGCUUGAAUCUGGCAGAGGGGGGCAGAAUUCCACGUGUAGCAGUGAAAUGCGUAGAGAUGUGGAGGAACACCGAUGGCGAAGGCAGCCCCCUGGGUCAAGAUUGACGCUCAUGCACGAAAGCGUGGGGAGCAAACAGGAUUAGAUACCCUGGUAGUCCACGCCCUAAACGAUGUCUACUAGUUGUCGGGUUUUAAUUAACUUGGUAACGCAGCUAACGCGUGAAGUAGACCGCCUGGGGAGUACGGUCGCAAGAUUA
rnacentral:rRNA from 1 species